GACGAACGUUGGCGGCGUGCUUAACACAUGCAAGUCGAACGGAAAGGCCCUGCUUUUGUGGGGUGCUCGAGUGGCGAACGGGUGAGUAACACGUGAGUAACCUGCCCUUGACUUUGGGAUAACUUCAGGAAACUGGGGCUAAUACCGGAUAGGAGCUCCUGCUGCAUGGUGGGGGUUGGAAAGUUUCGGCGGUUGGGGAUGGACUCGCGGCUUAUCAGCUUGUUGGUGGGGUAGUGGCUUACCAAGGCUUUGACGGGUAGCCGGCCUGAGAGGGUGACCGGCCACAUUGGGACUGAGAUACGGCCCAGACUCCUACGGGAGGCAGCAGUGGGGAAUAUUGCACAAUGGGCGGAAGCCUGAUGCAGCAACGCCGCGUGCGGGAUGACGGCCUUCGGGUUGUAAACCGCUUUCGCCUGUGACGAAGCGUGAGUGACGGUAAUGGGUAAAGAAGCACCGGCUAACUACGUGCCAGCAGCCGCGGUGAUACGUAGGGUGCGAGCGUUGUCCGGAUUUAUUGGGCGUAAAGGGCUCGUAGGUGGUUGAUCGCGUCGGAAGUGUAAUCUUGGGGCUUAACCCUGAGCGUGCUUUCGAUACGGGUUGACUUGAGGAAGGUAGGGGAGAAUGGAAUUCCUGGUGGAGCGGUGGAAUGCGCAGAUAUCAGGAGGAACACCAGUGGCGAAGGCGGUUCUCUGGGCCUUUCCUGGCGCUGAGGAGCGAAAGCGUGGGGAGCGAACAGGCUUAGAUACCCUGGUAGUCCACGCUGUAAACGGUGGGUACUAGGUGUGGGGUCCAUUCCACGGGUUCCGUGCCGUAGCUAACGCUUUAAGUACCCCGCCUGGGGAGUACGGCCGCAAGGCUAAAACUCAAAGGAAUUGACGGGGCCCCGCACAAGCGGCGGAGCAUGCGGAUUAAUUCGAUGCAACGCGUAGAACCUUACCUGGGUUUGACAUGGAUCGGGAGUGCUCAGAGAUGGGUGUGCCUCUUUUGGGGUCGGUUCACAGGUGGUGCAUGCCUGUCGUCAGCUCGUGUCGUGAGAUGUUGGGUUAAGUCCCGCAACGAGCGCAACCCUUGUUCACUGUUGCCAGCACGUUAUGGUGGGGACUCAGUGGAGACCGCCGGGGUCAACUCGGAGGAAGGUGGGGAUGACGUCAAGUCCUCAUGCCCCUUAUGUCCAGGGCUUCACGCAUGCUACAAUGGCUGGUACAGAGAGUGGCGAGCCUGUGAGGGUGAGCGAAUCUCGGAAAGCCGGUCUCAGUUCGGAUUGGGGUCUGCAACUCGACCUCAUGAAGUCGGAGUCGCUAGUAAUCGCAGAUCAGCAACGCUGCGGUGAAUACGUUCCCGGG
rnacentral:rRNA from 1 species